rnacentral:lncRNA from 1 species
GCAUAUAUUUGAUGCAAGCACAUAACAGUCACUUCUGAUCAUAACUUUUUAUACAUCAACACAAAAAGAAGAAAUCAGCAUGUUCAUACUUGAUCCAAUUCAUACAUUGUAGCUCAUGAGGAUAUGAAAACUAGGACUGAAAUAAUGAUCUCCAGGAUAGAUACUACUAAGACAAUGAGUAUGCUUUUCAGUAGUAUUUACAUAGUAGCAAGGGGAACUCCCAAGAUUCAAUAUCUUCACACAACUGCGUUUCCGCGGAUACAUAGUCUAGAAAUUGUUCUCAAGUGCAUUGUUUCUUGUGGUGGAUAUGACCCGCAGCUCCACAGGCUAGAAAGGAGGCGACGGACCGCCAGGGCCCGGGUGUCCGAACAGAGGACCGCAGCAAUCUUGGAGCAGGCAGCAGCAGCACAGGAGGUAGAAGCUGCAGAAGAAGUGUUCGUCCAGAGUUUCAGAUGUAUCCGUGUACAACAAAAGAGAUUCAGAGUUCAAAAUUAAACUACUAGUUGGUGCCGAAAAUAUUAUACUUGAUCCCCGAACCACUAAUCAUCUACCGAGUGAAUAGACUGAUUUCUUAGAGAUAGACUGAUUUUUUAGAAGGGAAAACAGUUGACAAUCUAACUGAUUGAACUGAUGACCUCCAUUAGUAAGCUGAGAAUUCAACUUACCAGGAUCCGAAGAACCCACCGAACUCAGGCCCCCAGAAACCAGGGCCAGGGCCACCAGGAAACCCAGGCCCACCAGGUGGAACCGGACCCCACCCUCCUGGGCCCCACCCUGCAGGGCCUCCCCAACCCGGUCCUCCUCCAGGCCCAUGCGGGUCCAUCUCGCCAAGAUAAACUUCUGAACCGGUAAGAUAAAAAGAAGAUAAACUGCUGCUGAAUGGUAAACUACAGUUUCCCAACUCAAUCAGAAGGAACCCAGACUUGAUGCAGCAGUUGGGAGUGAAGAAGUAUUUAUAGAGUUAGGGUGAGAAGUGUAGUUGUGCAUGUACCUGCCAUUCAAUAGCUCAUCCACUCGUCUAUCUUACUUUCAUUUCAACUACUGUUCUCUGCAUGCUUACUGUUGCAAUAUCACACAAACGUUUUGAGCUCUCAAGAUUGAGUUCAAUUCAAAACCACCUUUGUUUCAUAGUAUGAUCCAAUCAAUGCAUUAUAGUAAAUGUGAAGUACAACACCUGCACGGCAAAACUAAACGUCUGAAUCUACUGGACCCAUCUAGAAACAACAAAAACAAGCCAUGUUCGGAACAUUUGUAUGGAAAGCAUCUGCAACUUAUAUAUGGAAAGUACAACUUAUAAGUUCUUCACAACAACUGUCCAACAAAUUUGUGUUUCGGUAGCAACACCCAAAAAUCCAACAAGGAACAAAUUACAAAAGGGUUACAAAGGGUGAACCAUCGACGCUCAGGAGCAUUACAAAAAUUGAUGAAACAGUACACUCAUAC